rnacentral:rRNA from 1 species
GACGAACGCUGGCGGCGUGCCUAAUACAUGCAAGUUGAGCGCUGAAGGUUGGUACUUGUACCAACUGGAUGAGCAGCGAACGGGUGAGUAACGCGUGGGGAAUCUGCCUUUGAGCGGGGGACAACAUUUGGAAACGAAUGCUAAUACCGCAUAAAAACUUUAAACACAAGUUUUAAGUUUGAAAGAUGCAAUUGCAUCACUCAAAGAUGAUCCCGCGUUGUAUUAGCUAGUUGGUGAGGUAAAGGCUCACCAAGGCGAUGAUACAUAGCCGACCUGAGAGGGUGAUCGGCCACAUUGGGACUGAGACACGGCCCAAACUCCUACGGGAGGCAGCAGUAGGGAAUCUUCGGCAAUGGACGAAAGUCUGGCCGAGCAACGCCGCGUGAGGGAAGAAGGUUUUCGGAUCGUAAAACUCUGUUGGUAGAGAAGAACGUUGGUGAGAGUGGAAAGCUCAUCAAGUGACGGUAACUACCCAGAAAGGGACGGCUAACUACGUG